AGACGACACAAAGCCUAUCAUCCAAACUGCAUCAAAUGCCUAGUGUGAGUGGAAGGUUACCAAGAUUGUGAGCUCCGAGGACAGCAAAGAAGACCACAGGAAACAAGACUGUCCUUCUCCAAAGACACAAAAAGAACUCAGGUGUCUGGUGCCCUAUCCAGCCCAGCCGAGGACCUUCUCUGUCACCUGCAGGUGUGUUUUGAGACUUACAAAGCCACCAAUCUUAGGCAACAUGCUGCCCAGUGCCUGGGAAGGCAGGGCUACAGGCUAGUCCUCCACACUCCUGAUUCCCUAGGACCCUUGCUGGGAUGCUCAGGCAUUCACAGGCCCUGCUUUCCCUGCCCUGGAGGACGGCUAUGCUGGGAGCACCAAGAAGCACAAACUGCUGGGAAGAGCCUGGGUAGUAUGUCCUGGCUGGUCAGCCAUGGAUGCAUAUCCUUGCAAGUUUUCAAGAUGCAGAUCAAGCCACUGCUGGGCUUUUGGGAAAUGACUAGCAGACAGAGGAAAUCUGAUCGCCGCCAGCACAGGGAAGGCCAGCCAGCUGGGGACCUGGGUCUCCUUCAGAAGCUUCUGCAUCUUGAACUCAGGAAAUCCUCUGUUUUUCUCAAUGAAACUCCAUGGCUUCUCAGCGACUGAAGAGGGAGGCAGGGAUAAAACCUCUCAUUCAGUAGCACACAGGUCAGUUAAGAGGCAUUUAGUUCAAAGUAUACAAAAUGGCUGCAGCUGCUCCUCAGUCACAUUCAGAAAUUUCAUGGAGAGGAAGAAAGCGGAAGAUGCUGGUUUCUGUACCCUCUUCGAGAACCCAGCAGAUUCUCAUCUAGGUCUCCUUGCUGAACAGUCACUGGAAGACCUGCUUGGCUGGGUUCUGGAGCGUCUCCUUCAACUGCCCAGGUGAUCUUCUUAUAUGAAGCAUGAUGGGUAAUCUUCAUGGGCAACUUGGGAUUUAGAAUCACCUGGGAGACACACCUCUGCCUGUGUCAGCUGAAGUAUUUCAGGUGUGUGGACCUGGAAGAAGUCUGCUUUCUACAAAGGCAUUUUCCAAUUUCCUACUCUUUGGGGAGAGAAACUCCUGGAAAUGUUGUGAGCAGUUAUUCCAGCGUUUGUUUUCCCCACUUAAAACCUACCAUCUGCAUCUCAUCCCAUGAAGCACAUAGCGAGUGUAUGGAUGUAGUCAGGAAUUCAUUUUAUAAUGACAUUUGCAGGCACAACAUGCUCGGCCCUCAGCCUGGCCCUUGGAGCUACAGAGACCAGAAGGGCACAGUCUCAUCCUACCAAGAGUGCAGAGUAUUAAAGACACGGGUAUGUCCUCGAAGAGUCCUGUGAUAAGAAGCCAUGACAAAUGACAAAUGUGGCACUAAAAUCCUCAGAAGGGACAAGGAAAUGGGAGGAAGAGACGAACCCUGUGCGGGGAGGAAGUUAUUACUUACUUGUUGAGACCUACUUUGGGAAAGAA